rnacentral:rRNA from 1 species
AACUCGACUACAUGAAGCUGGAAUCGCUAGUAAUCGUAGAUCAGCAUGCUACGGUGAAUACGUUCCCGGGUCUUGUACACACCGCCCGUCACACCACGAGAGUUUGUAACACCCGAAGCCGGUGGAGCAACCUUUUAGGAGCUAGCCGUCGAAGGUGGGACAAAUGAUUGGGGUGAAGUCGUAACAAGGUAGCCGUAUCGGAAGGUGCGGCUGGAUCACCUCCUUUCUAAGGA